rnacentral:rRNA from 1 species
UACGGGGGGAGCAAGCGUUGUUCGGAUUUACUGGGCGUAAAGGGCGCGUAGGCGGUGCCGCAAGUCGACUGUGAAAUCUCCGGGCUUAACCCGGAAAGGUCAGCCGAUACUGCGGGGCUAGAGUGCAGAAGGGGCAACUGGAAUUCUCGGUGUAGCGGUGAAAUGCGUAGAUAUCGAGAGGAACACCUGCGGCGAAGGCGGGUUGCUGGGCUGACACUGACGCUGAUGCGCGAAAGCUAGGGGAGCGAACGGG